rnacentral:rRNA from 1 species
CUAAUAUAUCCAUAUCUGUCAUGUUUGAAUAAUAAUUGCCAUGUUGUAAAUAUUUGUAGAAAUAUGGACACCCCCCGAGACGAAGCACAAGAAGCGUUGUUGAGGGACAUAAUCGCAGAAGGAAGUGAUGCCCUCUCCUCGAUGUUUCUCAACGACAAUGAUGGUCUGGAAGGAGAGGGUGAAGAAGCAGCUGGCCCUCUCCUCAUUGAUUUACAUGGCUCCGAUGACCCAAUGCCGGUGCAAGAAGGAGAGGGUGAAGAAGUAGACCGUGAGGACGGCUCCGGUGAUCACCAAACCGAGUCCGGCCAGGUAUAUAUAUUAGUUAAGCCUGUGUUGACUAGCUAA